rnacentral:rRNA from 1 species
UACGAAGGGGGCUAGCGUUGCUCGGAAUGACUGGGCGUAAAGGGCGCGUAGGCGGUUUGGUCAGUUAGACGUGAAAUUCCUGGGCUCAACCUGGGGACUGCGUUUAAGACGGCCAGGCUUGAGUGUGAAAGAGGGUCGUGGAAUUCCCAGUGUAGAGGUGAAAUUCGUAGAUAUUGGGAAGAACACCGGUGGCGAAGGCGGCGACCUGGUUCAUUACUGACGCUGAGGCGCGAAAGCGUGGGGAGCAAACAGG